rnacentral:rRNA from 1 species
UGCAAGUCGAACGCGAAAGCCCCGCAAGGGGUCAGUAGAGUGGCAAACGGGUGAGUAACACGUGGGUGAUCUGCCUCAGAGUGGGGGAUAACGACCCGAAAGGGUCGCUAAUACCGCAUAACAUCCUGCUUUUGGAUAAGUGGAGAUCAAAGCCGGGGAUCGCAAGACCUGGCGCUUGGAGAGGAGCCCGCGGCCGAUUAGCUAGUUGGUGAGGUAACGGCUCACCAAGGCGACGAUCGGUAUCCGGCCUGAGAGGGCGGACGGACACACUGGGACUGAGACACGGCCCAGACUCCUACGGGAGGCAGCAGUGGGGAAUUGUUCGCAAUGGGCGCAAGCCUGACGACGCAACGCCGCGUGGAGGACGAAGAUCUUCGGGUCGUAAACUCCUUUCGAUCGGGAAGAACGGCUUCCGGGUGAACAAUCCGGAAGAGUGACGGUACCGAGAGAAGAAGCCCCGGCUAACUCUGUGCCAGCAGCCGCGGUAAUACAGGGGGGGCAAGCGUUGUUCGGAAUUACUGGGCGUAAAGGGCUCGUAGGCGGCCAACUAAGUCACACGUGAAAUCCCCAGGCUUAACCUGGGAACUGCGUGUGAUACUGGAUGGCUUGAAUUCGGGAGAGGGAUGCAGAAUUCCAGGUGUAGCGGUGAAAUGCGUAGAUAUCUGGAGGAAUACCGGUGGCGAAGGCGGCAUCCUGGACCGACAUUGACGCUGAGGAGCGAAAGCUAGGGGAGCAAACGGGAUUAGAUACCCCGGUAGUCCUAGCCCUAAACGAUGAAUGCUUGGUGUGGCGGGUAUCGAUCCCUGCCGUGCCGAAGCUAACGCAUUAAGCAUUCCGCCUGGGGAGUACGGUCGCAAGGCUG